rnacentral:rRNA from 1 species
UGGGGAAUAUUGGACAAUGGGCGAAAGCCUGAUCCAGCCAUGCCGCGUGUGUGAAGAAGGUCUUCGGAUUGUAAAGCACUUUAAGUUGGGAGGAAGGGCAGUUACCUAAUACGUAGCUGUUUUGACGUUACCGACAGAAUAAGCACCGGCUAACUCUGUGCCAGCAGCCGCGGUAAUACAGAGGGUGCAAGCGUUAAUCGGAAUUACUGGGCGUAAAGCGCGCGUAGGUGGUUUGUUAAGUUGGAUGUGAAAGCCCCGGGCUCAACCUGGGAACUGCAUCCAAAACUGGCAAGCUAGAGUACGGUAGAGGGUGGUGGAAUUUCCUGUGUAGCGGUGAAAUGCGUAGAUAUAGGAAGGAACACCAGUGGCGAAGGCGACCACCUGGACUGAUACUGACACUGAGGUGCGAAAGCGUGGGGAGCAAACAGGAUUAGAUACCCCUGUAGUCCCUGAGCGGGCUGGCAAGGCGCAU